AGUAUUUGUUAUGUUCUAAAAACUCAAAGAAUUUGGCGGUAUUUUAUCUGUUUAGAGGAACCUGUUUUAUAAUUGAUGGUACACGAUUAACUUUACUUUAUCUAUUUGCUUGUAUAUCUCCGUUAUCAGAAUAUUUUAUUAGAAUAAUAACGUUCAAUAAAUUUUAUUAUAUUAUAUUUCAGGUCAAGAUACAGUUUAUGAUAGACAAAAAAUGGGUUACAUUAGUAUUUAAUUUCGGUGUUUAAAUGAAAUAUAAUAAUUUAAGUUGGAUUUAAUAGUAAUAAUAAUAAUUUUAUUAAUAUGAUUAUAGUUCUAAAAUGUGC
rnacentral:rRNA from 1 species